GACGAACGCUGGCGGCGUGCCUAAUACAUGCAAGUUGAGCGCUGAAGGUUGGUACUUGUACCGACUGGAUGAGCAGCGAACGGGUGAGUAACGCGUGGGGAAUCUGCCUUUGAGCGGGGGACAACAUUUGGAAACGAAUGCUAAUACCGCAUAAAAACUUUAAACACAAGUUUUAAGUUUGAAAGAUGCAAUUGCAUCACUCAAAGAUGAUCCCGCGUUGUAUUAGCUAGUUGGUGAGGUAAAGGCCCACCAAGGCGAUGAUACAUAGCCGACCUGAGAGGGUGAUCGGCCACAUUGGGACUGAGACACGGCCCAAACUCCUACGGGAGGCAGCAGUAGGGAAUCUUCGGCAAUGGACGAAAGUCUGACCGAGCAACGCCGCGUGAGUGAAGAAGGUCUUCGGAUCGUAAAACUCUGUUGGUAGAGAAGAACGUUGGUGAGAGUGGAAAGCUCAUCAAGUGACGGUAACUACCCAGAAAGGGACGGCUAACUACGUG
rnacentral:rRNA from 1 species